AUUCAAGAGUCCAUGACCAAAAAAAGAGGUGAAAAAAAAGAGUCCAUGACCUGUUUGCAUAACUGUUCUGUUUCUAAAAUAUUUGAACAGGAGCAAGAACAUUGGUUAGUGACAGGUUAGUCAGAAAUUUCUUCUCAAGAAAGAAGCCAAUAUGAAUACUUGCAUAGAUUAUAAGUAUUUUACUGUUAUAAUUUUAAGAAAUUAUUAUAAGAAUGGUGGUAAAUGUAUUCACAUGCAUAUAAUUUCUUAAAUAGCUUGGUAGUACACCUAACGAACUCUACUGACAGAAGCCCUGGGAAGCAGAUAGACAAGAGCCUCCUCCUACACAUGUCCCUAGGGAAAUAGAACACUAGCAAUUGAGUUGUUAGACUCAUAGUUGACAGACUAACCUGAGAUAUUAUCUGCUAAGGCAGUCAGUUGGUUCAUCUUACUUGUCGCACAGGCCUUUCAUAAGCCUGAGAAGUAGUUGAAUAGCUUGUUAUCAGAAUCUAGUCCACAAAGGCUCUAAAAAGUAGAUGAGUACAUGCAUCUAUAUUCCCUCCUUUUAAGGGAACACUAUGACCACCAUUUCUGAGGUCAUCAAUGUCUGUAAGAUUGCACAUGCAGAUUCUGGAAACUAACAUGUGACUUUAGUUAUUGGAUGACCUAGGAUCAGAAGAAAAACAGAAAAUAUGCUAAUUAGAGAUCUUAAAUAUAGAUAAAAAUCUGUAAUCAAGUGAUCAAAGAGUCAAGUUUGGGGUCAACCUGGUGUACAAGAGUGACUUUCAGGACUGGCUUCAAAGCUACAGAGAAACCCGGUCAUAAUAAAUCAACAACAGUGUCCUGUAUUGUUGUAUUAUAAACAGUGUGAACUUUUUGUGAUGGGCAAUAUGUCAUUGAUCAUUAAUGUUUCUUUGUGGUUUUUGAAAAAAAUCCUGCUUUAAAAGAAAACAGUUAUAAAAUUCAAUGUGUAAAAGAGAAGGUAAGUACACAAUUCUCCCUAUAAUAGGCAAUUAUUUUUACAAUGAACAUCUUGUUCCUGGAAUACAAAAAUACAACACCAGCUCACACUUUAUUCUCUUGCAAGCAAAAAAUAUACAAAAAUUGGUUUUAUUUUUGACUUUUCUGAAACGAAACAGUUGGCUUCCUAUCACUUUUUAGCUUGUUACUCAUGCUACAGUUUCCCAGAGUCUUACCCAGAAGGUCCUUUUGGGGGACCCUGGUAUUGGGACCUAAAGUAUCUGGUUUCAUAUCCUUAAAUCUCCAAAACACCUGUUAGAGGUUAGACAAUAAUUUGUAUCAGAUUUCAAAACUUAAAAUCUAGUAUUGUACAAAUUAGACAGUGCAUAGCUAAAUGCCAUUUGAUUCCCCAGUGUGGAAACCAGGUAAAGAGACAUUAGACCAUAAGAACUAUCAAAACAUAAGGCAGAGUAUGGCAACACCACCUAUGACUUUUUUAUAUUUAAUCAGGUCGAAUGUCAUUGUGAUUAAUUAUGUGCAGUUAUGUGCAUACAUGAGAGAGUUAAUGAAACAUGAAUAUAUUAAAGAAAAGUUUAUAUGUUCAUAAGUCAUCUGCAUGUGUAUUUAAUAUAAUACUUCUAAUUUUCCAUUCUUAAUUUCAUGCCAAUUUAAAAUAACCACAUAUCUAGGUUAAUAUGAUAUAAUUCUUGGUUUAUGUAUGUGCAGUAGUCCUGUUGACUGCAAGAUGCAGGAAUCUCAGUUACUUCUCUAGCAUGUUUGACUGCAUGCCAACUUGUCACACCGUUAUGUUGAUGAACUGAACCACACUCAACUGAAAAUGAGUGUUUUUCUUUAUAAGAGUUGCCGUGGUCACAGUGUCUCCUCACAACAAUAGAAAUAACAAUAGGUUAAGACGGAUUCUGAACCCAUUUUUAGGAGUUAUUAGCUUAUCACAUUAAAGAUUUGCCUUUGAAAAUCCACUCAGCUUCAUAUUCUCACUUGAGUUCCUGUUCAAUAUCAUCAUCUUGGAACUCUACCUAGGAAGGUUCCUGUGAAGUAUUUAGCUAACUAUAUCAGCAGCUUCAUUCAAUCUUACAAUAAGCCAAUGUGCUCUGCCACCUCCAGACUGCCAUAGGAAGUAAAACUUUGUAACCCAAUUGGCUCAAACUGUAGCGAUCCUUCAGGAAAAAAAAAAUGAGUAUGACUUUUUAUUCCACUGGUAUCAAUUUUAAGUUUCUGCAUACUUAUAUGCAGACUGAUGAAGAAAUACGAUAGCCUCAACAGCAAUAAAAUUGUCAGGAAUCCUGGUAUGAGGGUCUUUUCUUAAAGAAGUCCAAAGGAGCAGAAAGUAGUCCCAUCCACCCUUUAUUUUUCCUAGGCUGCUGCCACAAAUGCGAGCCUGAUUGUUUUGACCUCUGUUGAAACUCUUACAUUCCUAUGAAGCACUCAGCUAGUUUUACUCAUUUGGACUCCAAAGAGGUUGAAUAGUUCAUAAUCAGAAACACUACCUAAUAACAUGAGAAAUAAAGUGUUAGUGUCCAUAAAUUCACAUCUCCAGGAAGCAGAAGGACUAGUCACUGAUGAGAAUGUAUCCACCUUCAAAAAACUGUUACCGACCUUGGAUUCUGACUGGAAGCACUCUGGGCCCAAAGGUGUGACUUCGCUCAUGGGCAAUAAACCAUCACCCUAUAUUGCUAGCUGACAAUAUACAAGGCCCAUCAUGUGUUAUCAGUACAAAGCUCCAAUCAAUACUUAUUCAGGCAGAUAAUAAAUGUUUAAGACUGUGGGGGCUGAGAAAUGCAGAACCAUUUCCUACAUUGUCUGGCAGUCAGAGAAUCUGAGAAACUAACUGGCACAAUCUGCACCUCCAGACACAGGAUGUUGUCGCCUGGCCUCUUUUGAAGUUGGGUAGCUCUGUGGUCAGGAUAUGCUAAUACGAUUCUGCUCCUUCCAUUUUAACUAUGAGGACACCCGGGAAAGAGGUUUUAUUCUGCCUCUUUACCAAGUGGACUUGAGUAAAACAUGACUUAAGUCACCUAGCUACCUAGGCAACAGAUUGUUAACGAAGUAAUACCUGCUCCCCUGCUUUACCUUCAUAUAAAAGCUGUUGGGAAAAUAAACGCGGGUGAUUUCCGGAUCUGAAUAAUCACUGAAAUUCCCUCCUGGUGCUGUCAUGUGAUUUUUGUCUUCCUUUUUCCCACACGUCUACCCUGGAAAGAAGUGGUUUUUGUUAGGGUGGUCCCCAACAUAAAACCAAGCUAACAAGGUGUAACUUGCAUUAGAAUGCUUAUUUGUUUUCAUCCUACAAAUUUUAUUUGUGAAAUUUGAGAGAAAAUGCUAUAAAAUUUUUCGUUGGCAGUUUAUUUUUGACACACUGCUCCUUGUUUGGGUUACGGAGACCUACGGAUGCUCUUUGAGAAUGUAGUGAAUUUAUGAUAGAAGACAUGUGUGACUUAACAGGAGAAAACAGACUUCCAAAGAUGGGCCUAUAUAAGGCUCAUCUUCCUGCUUUUUUCCCUUGACCAUUGGCCCUCUCAACCUUUCACUUGUCAUUAGGUUUUAAUGAGGGGUAAUUGUGAUGCCUUCGUGUGGCAAUUUUCUCUGAGAUAAAAUCUUUCAUCUUUUAGGGGAGUUCCUUAAGAUCAAGAAUAACUUGAGAGAGAAUAAACAUUCCACCCUACAGGAAAGCUCUCUAGACUCAGGAUGUUCUGAGGGAUACUGAAACAUCCUAUCCUGUAAGACAGCUUCUUGAGUCUAGAAAGUUAACAACUCAAAAAAUUUCAGGAACUCUCUGAGACCAAAUAGAUUCACUUGACCCUCUAUAACAUCUUAUAAGCAGUAACAAUUGUUAUGAUAUCCUCUCUUACAAGAUGAAUAACCUGAAGAAGGAAGAGACAAUCCAAGCUGUCUGGAAGAGUUUCAGGACAACUGAGCAGCUUUGUAGAGACAUUUUCUAACCUGUCAAACUGACUUCAAUUUGUGCAGUGAGCUCUAGUUUUCAAGAUUACAUGAGACUGAUGAUAGGGACUUUAACUUGUAGUUGAAACAGAACAACCACAAAAUUGUUCUAGCAUAGUAAAAUCUUGACAAAAGUAUUAAAAUAGCUACAUAGGAGACAUAUUAAUAUAUGGAUACAUUAACAUAUCUAAUAUGGCCUAUUAGAAAAUGCCACAAAGGAUCGACUGCUCAAAAGAUUAUACCUGAUAUCAAAGAUAUGUGAUAAUAAAGAGUUACAGGAUGAGACUAGAAUACACAAACAGAUAUAAAAUAUUCUUUCAUUUAAGUUAAAUUUCAUUUAAGAGUGGCAAAUAAAUUACUCAUUUAAAACAAGGAGUUAUUUUAAAUUUUAUUAGAAUUCAGAGACAUGUUCUCAAGCUCAUCCCUAUAGCAACUGAGAAAAUAAUAGAGUUAUUUAAGUUGUUCUUCAAUAAAAUUAUUUUCACGUUUGGACUAGCUCUUGUGAUCUAGCUGCUCCCACUCCCCCUGUCAGACAACAGAACUUCCUUGUAGUCUAUAAUUGACAAGGAUGUUGAUGUUUCUGGCCAGUAGUUUUCUACAGAAGCAGUAGAGGUAUAAAAGGCUUUAGCUGAGUCAAAAUAAAGCUUGCUGUUCUACCACCUGAAAAGAAGCCUUCUUGUCUCAAUCCCAGCACCCCCUCCAUUCUCGGCAUCCAGGCUGUGCUUGUGGCGGGGCAACUAGCAAACUCUAUUCAAACUGAUAAUGCACCUCGUCUUCCUUUUCUUCCCCCUUCUCCUCUCCUGUACCUCUCCCUUUGAGACAGUAUCCCAUGUACCCCAUCCGAGCUAACCUUAUAAACCUUAUAAACUUUAAGUGUAAGCAUUUGUCUUCCCUUGAUGAAACUGAAUCAUCUUAUUGAGGACCCUGCUGGGCUCUGAGGUCUAUCGGCCAUUGUUAAUAAAGUUUUUUGCCUGAAGGAUGGUUCAACUUUGAAACUUCUCUCCAACCCAUCUUCUCCAGUUCCUCCAGCUAUGUAGACAUCCGACUUUAAAAUUCUGUUUUUCUUGACUAUAUCAACUAUGUACUGGGCUAAUUUGAAAAGGAAACUACUUUCAGUUCUAUUUUUUGGUUCUAAUGUCACAAAGUGGUGAAUGAAGCGUUGCAAAUAACUUGGAAUAUGCUGUAUAGUAGAAAUUUUACUUGAUAUGAAAAGUGAAAAAGAUGAACUAUGUCCUUUUUUUUGGAGGCAAGUGUUUCCUGUGUAUCUUUGGAGUCUGGCCUGGAACUUGUUCUGUAGACCAAGCUGGCCAUGAAUGCACAGAGAUCUGAUUACCUCUGCCUCCCGAUUGCUGACAUUUAUGCCAUGCACGACCACUGCCCUGCAUUAAAAGGAAUUCUUAAUAUUGUUGAGAGACCCUAUUGCAGUCAGUUAAAGUUUAAAUUGUUUCUUUACUCUGAAUUAGAGUGUCAUUUUAAACGGACAUGUGAGGGUACAUAAUCACAUGAAGACCUAAACCAAGAAGGUUUAAAACAGGACAGUGAUCCACAUUGUUCUCCUCAUUGCUCAGAUCCAAGACAACCUGCAUUGCAGAUUAAAAUAAAAUAGCCAAAUCCAUUGGUUGAAGGAGUUUCCAUAGAAGCCUCAUUAUAUUUAUGUCUUAUAGGCCUCAUUAUAACCAUGCACUACCCAAAGAGCAAGCUGUGCCACGUAGCCUCUGUUAAGUGUCCCUCUCCUCUGACUCUUCCAUACUGCACAGGUCACAUAUUAAUAAAUCUAUUAGCACAAAAACUCCUUCUCAUAAACAUUGAGGAGUAGAUACAUCCCUUUGCCUGGUGGGACUGAAUCAUCUCACUGAAGAGCCCCAAUUGUUUUCUGAUACUCAACUGUCUGCCAGUUUUAAAGCUCUUGCUGAAGAUUAUUCAACUUUGGACCUUCUCUUGAUUCCCUGUUUUCCCAAUCCCUCCAUAAUAAUCUUCAAGACCUAAUUGAGCUUCUUGAAAUAGUGUAUAAGAGAACCCAUCUAUCCUGUGUGGCAGCUUGUAUCAACCCUUUAGGUCAGAAAAUGAAGCUAGGAUUAUGCAGCACAUACAGAAAUUGGGUCAGAUAAUAAACAAUUGACAUUAGUAUUAUUUGUUUGAUAUAUAUUGUAUACCUUAAUUUGUGAAUAUAUUUUGUAAGCUGACAGUCUACAAAAGAUCUUACUACAAAGGAAUGAAGCCCAUUUUUUUUUUAGCAUAUAUCAUGUUCUACAGAGAAGAAAAAUUUUACCCUUCCUCAUAUUCUAUUUCUCAUAGCCAACAUUGACCGAUUUCUGGACUCAAUGUUUAGAUGUAUGGACAAAUGUUGCUCUCAGCCUUAAUCAGAGAAGGCCCUCUUUGCAAUGAACAACUGUAAAUGAAGCAUGUCUGCUCAAUAUGCUGAGAAUAAGUGGCACCUGAAUGUUCAGCUCAAGACAGUGGAUUUAUCCAACCAUUUCUGUGGCUGAAGUAAUAUCAUAGAAGAGAAAAUCCAAAUUCUGUGACCAUAUACAUAGGGAGGAAGGCUAUAAAAUUGCCUCUGGCCCUAACUCAGCCUAUGUAGUCAUUACCUCUCAGCAGCUGCAACUGUCUGCAGUAAGCUAGUGCAACAUUUAUCUGGCGAACAGAAAGAAAAAAAAUGACUUUUAACAAACAACAAAGCCAAAGCAACAGUAUUCCUACCUCAAUUAUCCUAAUCUAGAAAGUGUUUGGAAGCUUGACUACUAAGCUAUUUUAGAUCCUAUCAAAUAACAUCAAUAUUUUCUAUUGUAUGUGAAUCUUUUUCCCACUACCUUGAAACUCUAGCAUGUCAUUUCCAAGAAAAGAGUUUACUCUUUGAUGCCAUUGGUUCAUAAACUAAAAUGCAUUCCUUCAGACUUUGAAAAUUUGCCACAGUUAACAGUCAUACCAUGUUUAAAAGACCAAAGUUCAAAAUGUCUUAUGAUACUAAAAGUGAUCAUGUUUUCUGUAUGCUUGUAUAAAAUCAAAGCCAGGUUACAAAAUUCUGUCAAUCAAUGCCUCAUGAUAAAUACUUCCAAUUCAAAGCAUAGAACUUGGAGUACAGCAUGAAAUAAUUGGGCCUGAGCGGGAUUUCCACUUAGCAAGGAAAACACUAACUUCUGUAGUACCAUGUCUUGCAAUUUGGCUUGUGGUAUAGUCAUAUGGGCUUCAAAGAGAUUGGGUAGUCUCUUCACUUUUAUUUGGUCAUCUGCAACAUAUAAACCAUCUGCAACAUCACUGCUACCUUCUAAUUUUAAAAUUUUGAAAUUAAAAUGUUUUCCUCUUUUUCUUCCCUCAACUUCUUCUCUGUACCCUUUCCUUGCUCUCUCUCUCUCUCUCUCUCUCUCUCUCUCUCUCUCUCUCUCACACACACACACACACACACACACAUACACAUACACACAUGCAAGCAGAAACAUGCACACAAUACACAAAAAGAAACAAAGACAUUAUAUAUAUAUAUGUAUAUAUUUACCUAAAUAUAUAAAUACAACCUGCUAAUUCCAUAUAAUGUUUGUUGUAUGUAUUUUAUUUCAGUCCAUCCCACCUGGAAUUUGAUAAACAAUAUGGGGACUGUUCCUUAGGAAAGACUAUUUCUCCUACUCUGAGUAUUUCUUAGUUGUCUCCAGUUCUUUGUCUAGGAUUAGGACCAUAUUCACUUUCUCCCUUUGGUGUUAGUAUGUCUAUUAGUCUAUUUCUUAUUCAGGUUAUGUUUAGGCAGCCAUGUUGAUGAGACUUCAUGCAUGUGACUUCAUUGACAUUUCUGGAAGAGAGAAUCUCGCACAAGACUUUCUGUUUCUCUGACUCUUAAAAUUUUUCUACCCCUUUCUAUGUUGUUCCAUGGCCUUAAUAAUAGGUGUUGUGCCUUACUAGACCUGGAUGGAGGAUGGAGGUGAGCAUCCAAACUGCCUAGGCUCCCACACAGAGACCCACAUUGGAGCACCGGACUGAAACCUCAAGGUUCAAAUCAGGAGAAGAAGGAGAGAGAGCACGAGAAAGGAACUCAGGACCGCGAGGGGUGCACCCACACACUGAGACAAUGGGGAUGUUCUAUCGGGAACUCACCAAGGCCAGCUGGCCUGGAUCUGAAGAAGCCUGGAAUAAAACCGCUGAAUAUAGCGGACAAUGAGGACUCCUGAGAAGUCAAGAACAAUGGCAAUGGGUUCUUUGUACUAUACUCUUCACAUGUAGAUAUUACCAGUGAAUGCUCCAUGGUCCUGGCAUCUCCAAUAGCCUGGUAUCUGCAUUCCAACUAAGGCUUCACCUUAAUAACUUUAUGCAAUAGCCUCUCAUGGCAUCCUAGCAUAGGUUCAUAUGCUACUACUGAUAUCCUUUCUAAGGCUUCUAAGUUCAGAAAAGACUUCAUGUCCACAGUCCCGCCUCUCUUCACAGAGAACAAACUGCUCCCACUUCCCUUUCUCUCUCACCUCUCCACCACAUAUUUGCUCAUCAUAAUGCUGCAUGCCCUGAAUAAUGGCGAGGGCACUCCUUAGUUUUUAAAUUUUCAUUUUUGUUUGUUUUUGUUUGAUAAAGAAGAGGGUUUAUUUCAUGCCAUAGCUCCCUGUCCAUUGCUGAGGAAAUAUAGGCCAGGGGUUCAAGGAAAAACUCAGGAUGCAGGACUGAAACAGAUACUAUAGAGGAAAUAUGCUUACUAGGUUGUUCCUUAUCAUUUGCUCAGCUUUUUUUCUUUUCAUUAUGUCUUUUAUUUUGUGAGAUUAUAACAUAAUUGCAUUAUUUCUCCCUUCUCCUCUAAUGAAUACAUGCCUUGAUAGAGUGAUCAGUGAAUGUUCAGAAGACCGUUCAUAAACUAGAACGAUGCUGAAAUGGAGUUCAUGUGCCUUCUCUACUCUCUCUUCGUUUUCUUUCCUGUCUUUACAAACUUUCGAUAAAUGAAUACGAAGGAUUUUAUGGAAAGGAAAGCUAUGGCUGCCACACAGG